GGGGGCUGUAGCUCAGUGGUCGAGUUUUUGACUGCAGAUCAAGUUGCCCUUGGUUCAAAUCCAAGUGCCCCCU